rnacentral:rRNA from 2 species
GACGAACGCUGGCGGUGUGCUUAACACAUGCAAGUCGAACGGUAAGGCCCUUUCGGGGGUACACGAGUGGCGAACGGGUGAGUAACACGUGAGUAACCUGCCCUCAUCUCUGGGAUAACAGUCGGAAACGGUUGCUAAUACUGGAUAUGAGCCUGCAAGGCAUCUUGUGGGUUGGAAAGAUUUUUUGGUUGGGGAUGGACUCGCGGCCUAUCAGCUUGUUGGUGAGGUAGUGGCUCACCAAGGCUUCGACGGGUAGCCGGCCUGAGAGGGCGACCGGCCACAUUGGGACUGAGAUACGGCCCAAACUCCUACGGGAGGCAGCAGUGGGGAAUAUUGCACAAUGGACGGAAGUCUGAUGCAGCAACGCCGCGUGCGGGAUGACGGCCUUCGGGUUGUAAACCGCUUUCAAUUGUGACGAAGCUUUUUGAGACG